rnacentral:rRNA from 1 species
GUGAGGAAUAUUGGUCAAUGGGCGGGAGCCUGAACCAGCCAAGUCGCGUGAAGGAAGAAGGAUCUAUGGUUCGUAAACUUCUUUUGCAGGGGAAUAAAGUGCAGGACGUGUCCUGUUUUGUAUGUACCCUGAGAAUAAGGAUCGGCUAACUCCGUGCCAGCAGCCGCGGUAAUACGGAGGAUCCGAGCGUUAUCCGGAUUUAUUGGGUUUAAAGGGUGCGUAGGUGGUUUGAUAAGUCAGCGGUGAAAGUUUGCAGCUUAACUGUAAAAAUGCCGUUGAAACUGUCGGACUUGAGUGUAAAUGAGGUAGGCGGAAUGCGUGGUGUAGCGGUGAAAUGCAUAGAUAUCACGCAGAACUCCGAUUGCGAAGGCAGCUUACCAAGCUACAACUGACACUGAAGCACGAAAGCGUGGGGAUCAAACAGGAUUAGAAACCCUUGUAGUCC